AGUUGGCAGAAUGUAUACAAGAUCAUAUUUAUGAGUAGGUGGAUACAGGACAGUCGAGAUCAGUACACUAAGGAGCGUCUGGAUUCAGUAAUUGAUCAGUACACUAAGCGUCUGGAUUCAGUAACUACUGUACUGUUUUGAGUAAACAGAUUGUUGGCUACUUCUUCAGUAUUCAGUAUUCAGUAUUCAGUAGC